UGCAAGCAGGAAAUCUUGUCUUGGCACAGUCGUGGUAUGUAGUGCUCAGAGCAGGAGUAACAGGACACACACAUUUGUCUUCUGCUUGCUACUCAUACAACUGUCGUUCCCAACUGUCGCGGAUCCUUCUGGUUGCAGAAUUCCAGCGCUCACAUAGUAACAAGGGAGUCAAAACAGUCCCUCCCUCCUGAGCUCUAAUCGCACAACAGUUUCAUAAUCAUGUUCUCUCAGAAAGUUCCAUGGUCCACCCCUCUGGAACAAAAUAAAAUGAUUUCCAGAAAGAGGGCCUUUGUGGAACCAGCUCACUGCAGUCCAUUCUAGAGUAAAGAAUCUGUGAUUUUGUUGGUUCUACUUCAAAGACUGGUGAAUUUUCUAAUCAGUGAAGAAGACAUUCAGUUGACCCACUCUAGCGUUGGAAGAUCUGCCAUUUAAAGAAUGAAGUGGAAGUAUAUAAAACAUGUAUAGGCUAGCUCAAACUUUAUCCAUGUCCCCUACUCCACCUCAGCUGUACCAGAAGGCUUGUGGAUGAAUGAUAAAGAAUGAUUUGUUAUGGCAUGAAAAUCAUCAUUUCAAGAACUUCUUGGCAGGAGCUAAGUGUUCCCAGGUGCCCUGUAUGCUGGUUGGACAAACUCACAUGGUUUUGGCCACUGAGAGUCUCACUCAGAGCAACUGAGAGAAGCUGUCAGGAGCCCAGAAACUACCCACUGCGGAUACAGAUGAGCUCAGGUACAUGCAGGAUCUGGAGCAUCUGCUAUACUAACCGGAUUAAGCUUCCUUGAAAAAAAU
rnacentral:lncRNA from 1 species